AAUCCCAGGAGGAGUUACCAUGGAAACUUAAAGCUAUCCUGAAAAGGGAUGGGAUCAGGUCUUGCUGGUUGAGCUACUGUCUAGAAUUCCCCGGUGAGGGGCUGGGGUGUGGUUCAGUGAUAGAAACCAGAUGUGUAAGAAGAGCCUGAAUCCCCAGCCCUCCCCAAGGUGGAUGGGGACACUAAAACUGGAAUGUUAGCAAUGGGGUUAGCCUCUAGUGAGGGCUGUAAGCGGCUAUGACCUGCAAGCCAAAAUAUGUGGUGGCUUGAUCUAAACUGUGGACCAGCCCUGCAAAUGCAGGCUGGGGAUCCCGGGAUCAGAGUUGACUGUCCCAGGUGGGAGCUCUAGAGCAGAACUUUAACCUGCAAAGACAACAACCCUGGCAGAGUGGAAGGGCAGUAUUGACCUGGAGAAAAUCCAACUUCCUCAGCUUCUUGUAGUUGAAGCACGCCGUCUACGUACUCACAUCAAAACUGGGGAACACGCCUGUGGAACCGGAACAGAGAAGAGUCGGGACAACAUCGGCUUCAGAGAGAGACCUUUUCUCAAAAAACCCAAAACAAAACCACUGCCAAAGCCUGGAAGAGGGCGGAAACCCUACCACAGGCACAGACACGUGCCUAGGGAGAUGCCGGCCUUUGACUCUUGUCUUAGAAACUUGGGAAUGGUAGUGGCCCGGAGGCUUCCAAAAGUGGCUUGCCAGUU
rnacentral:lncRNA from 1 species